rnacentral:lncRNA from 1 species
GUUGGGGAAAAAUCAGGUUUUUAAAUUUUUUAUAAAACCUUUUUAAGAUCGCUCUCAUAUAAUAUAUAAGAAUUUGUAAUCUAGAAAUCGUACCUUGAAAAUUCGAUUUAGCUUUUUCCGCUGAAAUGAUUUAGGCUCACAGAUCACGAUCCGUCACCACCACUCCUAUUAGAUCACGAUUCGUCAGCACCACGCUUGUUAGAACACGAACUGGCACCAAUGAUCUUCCAGGUUAUGACUCAGGUUUGAUCUGCACUUGACGUGUGGACGCUUUUAUCACUACCAAAGCAACUAGCACGAGAAAAUUUUUCUCUCAACAAUAGAGAGAAAUUUUUUUUUCUCUUAUCUGUAUAAAGUGGCUGCUCUCUUUUUAUUUAGAGAAAAUAAGUCUUUUUAUAUCUACCUUUAGUGAAAACUCUAGGCCCCAAAUAAUCCAAAAUCAAAACUCACGUUACUUGCUUUUUCUAUAGGGGACCCACCUUGUAAAAUAACAUAAGAUCCCUUACACACAAUCUCAUUAAAUGGAGUCUCCCACUAAAUGAUAUAUUUAGGCUUUUGACCCAAAUACCUAGUUAUCUUGCUUAUUAAUCCAGUAGUGGUGCAGUCAAUUAAAUGAGCUAACCCGGGGAUCAUUUGGGAACAUACAAUAGUGGCUACAAUAAUUAGGACUGUAAUUAAACUAGCCCAAUUAUUUAAUUCCAAAUCUACUCCACUAAAAGAUUGGAACUGACUUCCAUAAUUGUAUGCUCGAAUAAUAAUUCGUCCCAAGCCACAUUGAUUUCUUUACUGCACAAUCCUUUGUACCACAUCGUUAAUUAAAUUGAUAUCUCAACUUUCCAAUCAAUUUAAUAACAUCUUAUUCCUUGAUACUUACUGAUUUUCUCUAAUGAUCAUUUUCAACAUACUAAAUAUGUUGACACACUUUGGCCAGAGAAUUCUAUGAUCAAGUGCCGAAAACCCAUCAAAAGAUGUGUUGUACAAAUUCUAUAUUGUUAAUCCAUAACUCCAAUACUCAUAAUUGCUCCUACCAAGAUACUGGGUAAUUUUGACCACAAGAAUGUGUCGUGGCCACUGGUAACUCAAAUGGAAUAACAAUUACAAUCAUGAAAUCAUAAUUAACUCAAGAUUAAGAUUACAGUAAAAUCAAUGCCUAUGAGAUUUAAUAAGUCUGACAGUCAUUUUAAUGUUAAUUAAAUCUCAUAUGUGAUCCUAUUCAAUGUAGUCGUACUACAUUAAUAAAUUCAUACAUGAUUAAGAUAAAUCAUUCAAUGAAUUCAUUACAGUCUAUACCUAAAUAAAGUACCCAACUUUAUUUAUCAACUGAGAACUAAAUUUAUUUAAUCAUAAGAUAACUUAUAUUUAUAUCUUCUGUGAAUCCACAUGGUGAUAAUAUAAAUACAUGUAAUAUGAUUAAAUGGACUUUGAUCAAAAUAUUAAUGCAAUUAAGAUAUUUGAAUAAAAUACC